GAUGAACGCUGGCGGCGUGCCUAAUACAUGCAAGUCGAGCGAACAGACGAUGCUCUUGCUCCUCUCACGUUAGCGGCGCACGGGUGUGUCACACGUGUAUAACCCACCUAUAUGUCUGGUAUAACUUCGGAACACCGGCGCUUAUACCGUAUAAUAUAUUGCUCCGCAUUGUUCAUUAGUGAGAGUCGGCUUUUCUGUCACUAAUAGCUGGAUCCCGGCUGCAUUGGCUAGUUGGGAAGGUAACGGCUUACCAAGGCAACGAUGCGUGGCCGACGUGACAGGGGGAUCGGCCACAUUGGAAGUGGACCACGGUCAAGAGGCCUACGAGAGGGAGCAGAAGGGAAUCUGCCGCAAUGGGCGAAAGCCUGACGGAGCAACGCCGAGUGAGUGAUGAAGGUGUUGGGAUCGUAAAACUCUGUUAUGAGGGAAGAACAAAUGUGUAAGUAAAUAUGCACGUAUUGACGGUAACUAAUCAGGAAGCAACGGCUAACUACGUG
rnacentral:rRNA from 1 species